GAGUUUUAUAUUUAAUCUUAUUUUGUAUAAUUAUAAAAAUUUAUAUUAAAUGAAAUAAAAUAUUAUAUUGGGGUGAUAGAAAAAUAAAAUAAACUUUUUUUAAAAAUUUAACAUAAAUAAAUGAUUUUUUGAUCCAUUUUUAAUGAUUAUAAGAAAAAAUUACCUUAGGGAUAACAGCGUAAUUUUUUUUUUUAGAACAAAUAAAAAAAAGAGAUUGC
rnacentral:rRNA from 1 species